rnacentral:lncRNA from 1 species
GCUAGAUCAUAGAAUCAUAGAUUUAAAGUAGAGGCCAAGGAGUCCCUUCAUCUUGCAGAUAGGGCAUUAGGCCCCAAGUGACUUGCCACUAACAAUGUAGUAGUGUGCCUGUCCCUCCACAACCCAUCUGACAUGGAGUGUUGCCUUCUUUUGUCCUCUCUGCCAUCCCUUUCACUUUUAAUCUAUGAUCCUAUGAGAUUAUAUGCUUUUUGUACAGGUAAGAGUGUACAACUGCACUAAUACCUUGGGGACACCGUGACCCUAAGAGGUGGGCGGUGGGAGCAAAUCACAGUCUUAGUUGUGUAGUGAAUCCAAUUGAGAUUGCAACCUCGACCCUUCCCCCACUAGGGGGCGGAGAAUUUCCUGUUCGAAACUCAAGGCGGGAAGAUGAGGGGGAAGAGAAAAGAGGAUAAAAAAAGGAAACCACGUGCAUGUCCUCGUGACCCGGAAGCAAACUCCUUUGCUCUUUUCCCCGUCCCGUCACUUCCGCCACCCCUCUGUCAGCGGGAGGGAUACAGCUUAUUGGUCCGGCCUGUAGCUUCAGCUGCUGGCUUCGCCGCCGCCAUCACCAUGAUUCAGUUUUUGCUAGGAUUUACACUCGGCAAUGUGGUCGGGAUGUAUCUGGCUCAGAACUAUGACGUAAGUGGCUGUCAUACAAGACCUUUUGUCUCUGUUGAAGUGUUUUAA